AGAUGCGAUCAUACCAGCACUAACGUAACGGAUCCCAUCAGAACUCCGAAAUGAAGCGUNUGCUUGGGCGAGAGUAGUACUAGGAUGGGUGACCCCCUGGGAAGUCCUCAAGUUGCAUCUC
rnacentral:rRNA from 1 species